rnacentral:lncRNA from 1 species
CUGGCAUAUCCUUGAGGAUCUUAUUUCUGGAACCUGCUUUAUGUACUGCUGUGCCUGCCACAAACUCAGCACUUAACAUAGAGCUGUUGAAUGAAUGGAUGAUUCUAGACCAAGGGGAUCAGAUGAUGGAUGGGAAAACACUGGACAUCCAGGAUUGUAGAAUUCCUCUUAAGCAUGAGAUGCAGAAAUGGUGCAUAUCAGUCUUGCUGUCAAGCCAUUUGUGAGUUCAAUGGCCAUUUUUCAUCACGAGGGAAGAAGAAUAACUGUGAUCUUUUCUCAUGGCCCAGCCACAGCUCUCUUACCCCAGAAGAGAACAGAUUUUGGAAACAGGUAGAAUAUAAAUAA